ACGAACUCUGGUAUUGAUUGGUGCUUGCAUCAUGAUUUACAUUUGAGUGAGUGGCGAACUGGUGAGUAACACGUGGGAAACCUGCCCAGAAGCGGGGGAUAACACCUGGAAACAGAUGCUAAUACCGCAUAACAACUUGGACCGCAUGGUCCGAGCUUGAAAGAUGGCUUCGGCUAUCACUUUUGGAUGGUCCCGCGGCGUAUUAGCUAGAUGGUGGGGUAACGGCUCACCAUGGCAAUGAUACGUAGCCGACCUGAGAGGGUAAUCGGCCACAUUGGGACUGAGACACGGCCCAAACUCCUACGGGAGGCAGCAGUAGGGAAUCUUCCACAAUGGACGAAAGUCUGAUGGAGCAACGCCGCGUGAGUGAAGAAGGGUUUCGGCUCGUAAAACUCUGUUGUUAAAGAAGAACAUAUCUGAGAGUAACUGUUCAGGUAUUGACGGUAUUUAACCAGAAAGCCACGGCUAACUACGUGCCAGCAGCCGCGGUAAUACGUAGGUGGCAAGCGUUGUCCGGAUUUAUUGGGCGUAAAGCGAGCGCAGGCGGUUUUUUAAGUCUGAUGUGAAAGCCUUCGGCUCAACCGAAGAAGUGCAUCGGAAACUGGGAAACUUGAGUGCAGAAGAGGACAGUGGAACUCCAUGUGUAGCGGUGAAAUGCGUAGAUAUAUGGAAGAACACCAGUGGCGAAGGCGGCUGUCUGGUCUGUAACUGACGCUGAGGCUCGAAAGUAUGGGUAGCAAACAGGAUUAGAUACCCUGGUAGUCCAUACCGUAAACGAUGAAUGCUAAGUGUUGGAGGGUUUCCGCCCUUCAGUGCUGCAGCUAACGCAUUAAGCAUUCCGCCUGGGGAGUACGGCCGCAAGGCUGAAACUCAAAGGAAUUGACGGGGGCCCGCACAAGCGGUGGAGCAUGUGGUUUAAUUCGAAGCUACGCGAAGAACCUUACCAGGUCUUGACAUACUAUGCAAAUCUAAGAGAUUAGACGUUCCCUUCGGGGACAUGGAUACAGGUGGUGCAUGGUUGUCGUCAGCUCGUGUCGUGAGAUGUUGGGUUAAGUCCCGCAACGAGCGCAACCCUUAUUAUCAGUUGCCAGCAUUAAGUUGGGCACUCUGGUGAGACUGCCGGUGACAAACCGGAGGAAGGUGGGGAUGACGUCAAAUCAUCAUGCCCCUUAUGACCUGGGCUACACACGUGCUACAAUGGAUGGUACAACGAGUUGCGAACUCGCGAGAGUAAGCUAAUCUCUUAAAGCCAUUCUCAGUUCGGAUUGUAGGCUGCAACUCGCCUACAUGAAGUCGGAAUCGCUAGUAAUCGCGGAUCAGCAUGCCGCGGUGAAUACGUUCCCGGGCCUUGUACACACCGCCCGUCACACCAUGAGAGUUUGUAACACCCAAAGUCGGUGGGGUAACCUUUUAGGAACCAGCCGCCUAA
rnacentral:rRNA from 2 species